GAUGAACGCUGGCGGCGUGCUUAACACAUGCAAGUCGAACGGUGAACACGGAGCUUGCUCUGUGGGAUCAGUGGCGAACGGGUGAGUAACACGUGAGCAACCUGCCCCUGACUCUGGGAUAAGCGCUGGAAACGGCGUCUAAUACUGGAUAUGUGACGUGACCGCAUGGUCUGCGGUUGGAAAGAUUUUUCGGUUGGGGAUGGGCUCGCGGCCUAUCAGCUUGUUGGUGUGGUAAUGGCUCACCAAGGCGUCGACGGGUAGUCGGCCUGAGAGGGUGACCGGCCACACUGGGACUGAGACACGGCCCAGACUCCUACGGGAGGCAGCAGUGGGGAAUAUUGCACAAUGGGCGCAAGCCUGAUGCAGCAACGCCGCGUGAGGGAUGACGGCCUUCGGGUUGUAAACCUCUUUUAGCAGGGAAGAAGCGAAAGUGACGGUACCUGCAGAAAAAGCGCCGGCUAACUACGUG
rnacentral:rRNA from 1 species